rnacentral:rRNA from 1 species
ACUUUCGGGUAAUUGAGAGCGGCGUACGGGUGCGGAACACGUGUGCAACCUGCCUUUAUCAGGGGGAUAGCCUUUCGAAAGGAAGAUUAAUACCCCAUAAUAUAUUAUUCGGCAUCGGGUGAUAUUGAAAACUACGGUGGAUAGAGAUGGGCACGCGCAAGAUUAGCUAGUUGGUGAGGUAACGGCUCACCAAGGCGACGAUCUUUAGGGGGCCUGAGAGGGUGAUCCCCCACACUGGUACUGAGACACGGACCAGACUCCUACGGGAGGCAGCAGUGAGGAAUAUUGGACAAUGGGUGGAAGCCUGAUCCAGCCAUCCCGCGUGCAGGAAGACGGCCCUAUGGGUUGUAAACUGCUUUUAUCUGGGGAUAAACCUACUUACGUGUAAGUAGCUGAAGGUACCAGAAGAAUAAGCACCGGCUAACUCCGUGCCAGCAGCCGCGGUAAUACGGAGGGUGCAAGCGUUAUCCGGAUUUAUUGGGUUUAAAGGGUCCGUAGGCGGACUGAUAAGUCAGUGGUGAAAUCCGACAGCUUAACUGUCGAACUGCCAUUGAUACUGUUAGUCUUGAGUAAGGUUGAAGUGGCUGGAAUAAGUAGUGUAGCGGUGAAAUGCAUAGAUAUUACUUAGAACACCAAUUGCGAAGGCAGGUCACUAAGUCUUAACUGACGCUGAUGGACGA